AUAAAACACAGGACAUGGAGUGUCACAGUCUAAAUGUUUCAGCUUGUAUUUCUGGUGUCCGCCUUGGAGGAGGAAUGAAUUACACAGAAGCCUUACUUCAUAGGUUUGGAAUUCUUGGGCCAGAUGGUGGUCCUGGGGAAGGGCUUACUAAAGGAUUGAAGCAUCUGUCUGCUGGGCCUUUGUCUAAACUUUUGAAAGCAACACCUCUUACCCUUGAUGAGCAUCAAGAUGAUGGAAAGGACACUGGUAGAUUACAGUUGGAAACACCUGAUGACGUGGAUAUAUCCAUAGAAUUCAAAGAUUGGUUAUUUGCUCUGGAAGGUGCACAAGAAGAAGCAGAAAGGUGGUGGUUCUGUGAUCAUGAAGAUUCUGUCAGAGAAGAGCGGUGUUGGCACACAACUUUCCAGAACAUUUGUGUUAAAGCAAGCAGUUCUAAGCAUGUAACAAAUGACAGCGGAAAAUCUCCUGGCAAAAAAAGAUACCCCCUCGAGUUGAUUACUGUUGGUAUGGAAGGUCUGCAGAUCUUAAAACCACGUUCUCCACAUAGUAUCAGGCAAGAUAGUCCUGAAGGACCUCUUAAAGAGACUGCUGAGAGAUUUGGUGGUAUGAACAUCGAAGUAGACAUAGUGAAUUGCGAAGACGAUAUUGAUGAUGGAUUGGGAAAGUGGAUUGUCGAAAAUUUGAAAUUUUCUGUCAAACAGCCGAUCGAGGCAGUAGUGACUAAGGCUGAGCUCAAGUAUCUUGCUUUCUUGUGCAAGUCUGAGGUUGACUCCAUGGGUCGGAUUGCCGCUGGAAUUCUGCGGGUACUUAAGUUAGAAAAUAAAAUUGGCGCAGGAGCAAUCAGUCAACUAAGUAACUUAGGAAGUGAAAGCUUUGAUAGAAUAUUUACUCCUGAAAAACUCAGCAGAGACAAUAGCAGCAGUAGUAUGGGCCUAAGUCCUUCGUCAAAUAUCACUGGUGGAAGCCGAAACCCAUAUCUUGAGUCAACAGUAGCUUCUCUUGAGGACAUGAUCAAGGAAUCACAGACCAAAUGUUCUUCUUUAAGUGUUGAACUAGCUAAUUCAACAUCUUCUCUCGAUGACGUUAAAGAGCUGAGUCAGAAACUGGAGAACAUGCAGAAAUUAUUGAUGCAAUUGCGAACUCAAGUUUAAUUUGUUUGUCCUCCCCUGUAAGUCAUUUUUGGUAGUAUGUUAUGUUACUAUAGUUAAAGAAUCAUACAGGCUUUCCAUUCUUUUUGUACAUAUGUACUAUCCAAAAUAUGUUGAGCAUGUAGCACAGCGAGAAAAUGUAGUAGAAGAAAGAAACCUCAGUUGCA
rnacentral:misc_RNA from 1 species